rfam:Gossypium raimondii Chr06_contig_1309, whole genome shotgun sequence.
UGUUAAAACUUUCAUCUAUUUGUACUAUUAAAAAUUGACGUGAUUGGCGGAAUAACAAGACCAUGACACGUGGUGCGCCACGUAUACCACAUGUUGACAUACAAAGUUUAGUUUUUAACAGUAAAAAUGAACGAAAUUUUUAACA